rnacentral:rRNA from 1 species
UACGUAGGGUGCAAGCGUUGUCCGGAAUUAUUGGGCGUAAAGAGCGUGUAGGCGGCCCGAUUAGUCCGCUGUGAAAGUCCAGGGCUCAACCCUGGAAUGCCGGUGGAAACUGUCGGGCUAGAGUCCGGAAGGGGCGAGUGGAAUUCCUGGUGUAGCGGUGAAAUGCGCAGAUAUCAGGAGGAACACCAAUGGCGAAGGCAGCUCGCUGGGACGUGACUGACGCUGAGACGCGAAAGCGUGGGGAGCAAACGGG